rnacentral:rRNA from 1 species
GUGCAAGCAGCCGCGGUAAUACGGAGGGUGCAAGCGUUGUCCGGAUUUAUUGGGUUUAAAGGGUGCGUAGGCGGCCCGUUAAGUCAGUGGUGAAAUCCCAGGGCUCAACCCUGGAACUGCCAUUGAUACUGACGGGCUUGAGUUCGGUUAAGGCGGGCGGAACUGGUGGUGUAGCGGUGAAAUGCAUAGAUACCACCAAGAACCCCGAUUGCGUAGGCAGCUCGCUGAGCCGAAACUGACGCUGAGGCACGAAAGCGUGGGGAGCGAACAGGAUUAGAUACCCCUGUAGUCC